rnacentral:rRNA from 1 species
AGAUUGAACGCUGGCGGCAUGCCUAACACAUGCAAGUCGAACGGGAGUAGCAGUACUCUAGUGGCGGACGGGUGAGGAAUACGUAGGAAUUUGCCCUUAAGUGGGGGAUAACCCGGGGAAACCCGGAUUAAUACCGCAUGACCUCGAAAGAGCAAAGUGGGGGAUCGCAAGACCUCACGCUUUUGGAGAAGCCUACGUCGGAUUAGCUAGUUGGUGAGGUAAUGGCUCACCAAGGCGACGAUCCGUAACUGGUCUGAGAGGAUGAUCAGUCACACCGGAACUGAGACACGGUCCGGACUCCUACGGGAGCAGCAGUGGGGAAUAUUGGACAAGUGGGCGCAAGCCUGAUCCAGCAAUGCCGCGUGUGUGAAGAAGCCGUUCGGUUAGUAAAGCUAACGUUUAAGUUAGGGAAGUAAAAAACUCGACGUACUAAACGACAGUGACGUGUUAGACGGUACCGACAAGAA